GUGGAUUAGAUACCCUGGUAGUCCUAGCCGUAAACGAUGGGCACUAGGUGUGGGGGGUAUGACUCCCUCCGUGCCGCAGCUAACGCAUUAAGUGCCCCGCCUGGGGAGUACGGCCGCAAGGCUAAAACUCAAAGGAAUUGACGGGGGCCCGCACAAGCAGCGGAGCAUGUGGCUUAAUUCGAAGCAACGCGAAGAACCUUACCAGGGCUUGACAUUCAGGUGAAGCGGCGGAAACGCCGUGGCCGAAAGGAGCCUGAACAGGUGGUGCACGGCCGUCGCCAGCU
rnacentral:rRNA from 1 species